CGUUGGAAUAAUCUCCCCUUCUGAUCGCCCACGAGCUUUCAAACGGUUGAGAUCCGGUGCCCAAGACAGGAGAAAAGUGAACCUUAUUGCUGGGGACUCCAAUGUUCAUCGGAUUAAGGAUAUUCUUCCUGACGAUAUAGCUUUCAAAUACCUGCCAAUCUCUGGUGCCAAAUUUUCUUGUGAUCGUUUUCGCCAUGCAUUGUUUAGAGACUUGCGGAAGAUGGAUGUUCAACAGCUGUAUCUUCAUCUAGGCUCAAAUGACAUUCUUACGAAUGAAGCGGUGUUUUACCGAUAAACCUCACAAUCCUAUGAUCAACGCAGGAGCCAUCGCAGUCUGUUCUCUCUUAAAGCAGGGCGUCAACUUGGCCGACCGAUUUGAUUAUCUCUUCAUUUGGCCGCACUAUAUGUCCAGGCAGGACUAAUAGAUAUUUUAUCCAAGAACGGUUGCCUUGCCGAUGCUUCCGAUGUCCUGGGUUGCACUCCACUGCAUAUGGCGGCAUUAAAGGGACAUCAAAAC